GAUGAACGCUGGCGGCGUGCUUAACACAUGCAAGUCGAACGGAAAGGCCUCUGCUUGCAGGGGUACUCGAGUGGCGAACGGGUGAGUAACACGUGGGUGAUCUGCCCUGCACUUUGGGAUAACCUUGGGAAACUGGGUCUAAUACCGGAUAGGAGCAUGGUCUGGAUGGUGUUGUGGAAAGAUUUUCGGUGGGGGGUGAGGUAGCCGCCUCUUAGCUUGUUGGUGGGGGAGUGGUGUACUAAGAAGGCUGUGGGGGGUAGGCGGCGUGAGGGGGUGAGCGGCCACAUUGGGAGUGAUAUGGGGCACAGACUCAUAGGGGGGGCAGGAGUGGGGUAUUUUGCAAUAUGGGCGAGAGUCUGAUGCAGAAGCGCCGUGUGGGGGAAGGCGGUCUUCGGGGUGUACACCGUUCUCGACUGUGAAGGAGUGUGAGUGACGGUAAUGGGUAAAGAAGCACCGGCUAACUACGUG
rnacentral:rRNA from 1 species